GCUUGUCGAGACAAAUAAUCAAGUUGCCCAUCCCGUAAAGAGGCCCCCAAUCCCAUCCAGCACCUACGUGACUUGGAGCGUCCAAUUCCGGAAUAAUUUUGACUCCUGUGUCUUGCGACACGCAAUCAGCGGUAUGUGUCGUAAAGGGGAGUCCCGUACAACAACGCCACAAUUGUGAAAACACACUAGGUA